AUCUUAGUGGCGGACGGGUGAGUAACGCGUGAGCAACCUGCCUUUCAGAGGGGGAUAACGUCUUGAAAAGGACGCUAAUACCGCAUGAUAUUAUGGAGCCACAUGGCUCUAUAAUCAAAGGAGCAAUCCGCUGAAAGAUGGGCUCGCGUCCGAUUAGGUAGUUGGCGGGAUAACAGCCCACCAAGCCGACGAUCGGUAGCCGGACUGAGAGGUUGAACGGCCACAUUGGGACUGAGACACGGCCCAGACUCCUACGGGAGGCAGCAGUGAGGGAUAUUGGUCAAUGGGGGAAACCCUGAACCAGCAACGCCGCGUGAGGGAUGACGGCCUUCGGGUUGUAAACCUCUGUCCUCUGUGAAGAUAAUGACGGUAGCAGAGGAGGAAGCUCCGGCUAACUACGUGCCAGCAGCCGCGGUAAUACGUAGGGAGCAAGCGUUGUCCGGAUUUACUGGGUGUAAAGGGUGCGUAGGCGGUUUGGUAAGUCAGAAGUGAAAUCCAUGGGCUUAACCCAUGAACUGCUUUUGAAACUAUCGAACUUGAGUGAAGUAGAGGUAGGCGGAAUUCCCGGUGUAGCGGUGAAAUGCGUAGAGAUCGGGAGGAACACCAGUGGCGAAGGCGGCCUACUGGGCUUUAACUGACGCUGAGGCACGAAAGCAUGGGUAGCAAACAGGAUUAGAUACCCUGGUAGUCCAUGCCGUAAACGAUGAUUACUAGGUGUGGGGGGUCUGACCCCCUCCGUGCCGGAGUUAACACAAUAAGUAAUCCACCUGGGGAGUACGACCGCAAGGUUGAAACUCAAAGGAAUUGACGGGGGCCCGCACAAGCAGUGGAGUAUGUGGAUUAAUUCGAAGCAACGCGAAGAACCUUACCAGGUCUUGACAUCCAGCUAACGAAGUAGAGAUACAUUAGGUGCCCUUCGGGGAAAGCUGAGACAGGUGGUGCAUGGUUGUCGUCAGCUCGUGUCGUGAGAUGUUGGGUUAAGUCCCGCAACGAGCGCAACCCUUACUGUUAGUUGCUACGCAAGAGCACUCUAGCAGGACCGCCGUUGACAAAACGGAGGAAGGUGGGGAUGAUGUCAAAUCAUCAUGCCCCUUAUGACCUGGGCCUCACACGUACUACAAUGGCCGUAAACAGAGGGAAGCAAUACCGCGAGGUGGAGCAAAACCCUAAAAACGGUCCAAGGUCGGAUUGCAGGCUGCAACCCGCCUGCAUGAAGUUGAAUUGCUAGUAAUCGCG
rnacentral:rRNA from 1 species